GACACAGAGAUAAAAACUGAAAGCGAUUAACAGCUACAGCGAGUGUAUUUAGCAUUCAUCAGCAAUUAAAGCAGCAAUAAGCAGCAACCAGCCGCGUAAACAUUCAGACUUACAUCAGUGGCAAAAUGAACACGACAUCUGAGAUGAAGCGUCUGACGAUUUACAUGUUGGAGUCUGCACCGAUAGACGACCAGGUCCAGAUAGCACACGAUCAUCUGUUACCCCUGGUUGAAAAAAUCCACCCCAGUCAGGCCAAUAAGAUCACCUGGAUGCUGGUGCAAGACGAAAACAACUUU